rnacentral:rRNA from 1 species
CCCUUAGAUGUUCUGGGCCGCACGCGCGCUACACUGAAGGGAUCAGCGUGUUUUCCCUUUCCGAGAGGAACGGGUAACCCGCUGAACCCCCUUCGUGGUAGGGAUCGGAGCUUGCAAUUGUUCUCCGUGAACCAGGAAUUCCCAGUAAGCGCAAGUCAUAAGCUUGCGUUGAUUACGUCCCUGCCCUUUGUACACACCGCCCGUCGCUACUACCGAUUGAACGUUUUAGUGAGGUAUUUGGACUGGGCCUUGGGAGGUUUCGGCCUCCCUUGUUGCUCGGAAAGACUCCCAAACUUGAGCGUGUAGAGGAAGUAAAAGUCGUAACA